rnacentral:lncRNA from 1 species
CUAGAGAGGAGGCUUUUUGCAUCUCGCUGCGGAGCCGCGCUCGCAGCCCGGCAGCCCCGCGGGUCCCUCCCGGCGCUGCGGGCGCGGGGCUCGCCCCGGCUCCUCUCCCGGCUCGCUCGCUCUCGGAGGAAAGUCGCUUGGCCAAAAAAGAAGCUUGGUGUCAGGCAAACCAGACUAAGAAAAUACUAGAGGAAAAUAUUGUAUUGAUCAGUUUAAUCUUAACAAUGCCAGGAGGAAUUAUAAGUAGCUCAAGAUUGUUCGGCAAAAUUCUACAGCCUCAUGGGCCACCUCACAAAUUGGUGUGACAGGAGAAAGGCUGAAGGGUACAUUACUGAACCUUCUCUGGAGCUACAGUAAGUUUUUAAAUGGAAAUUGAGGUUUGGAGAUGCUGCACUUUCAGACACAAGAGGAGGGUGAGCUCCUGGAUGGAGAUACCUACAUGAAGCUUCAUCAGUGCUAGUCCUUGGGAGG